rnacentral:lncRNA from 1 species
UUUUUUUUUUUUUUUUUUGGUUUUUCGAGACAGGGUUUCUCUGUACUGGAACUCACUCUGUAGACCAGGCUGGCCUCGAACUCAGAUAUCCGCCUGCCUCUGCCUCCCGAGUGCUGGGAGUAAAGGCGUGUGCCACCAUGCCCGGCUUAGUUUAAGUCUUAAUCUAUAUGGCAUUCAUCUAGGUAUAGUAUAUGUCAGGGGUAGUGGGAAUCUCCCUUUUUGGCCCACAUUUUCACUCUUUUGAAACAUUUUUUUCGACUUUUCUACAUUGUCUUUUUUUCUGGCCCAUGAGAUUCCAAGUAUGUAGCUCCUCCAUUAUUUGUUGUUUCACUAUCUUAUCCUACCUGAAACGUUAAUUUUUGCUUUGGUUAGUGAUUCCACACUGAAUUCUACCUGGUCAUUAUCCACGUAGUUGCAAUCUUGAUUAGUAGAGCAAAUGAAAUCUCAUGAUACCCUGUUUAAAUUUUGUGUUUAUAUAUACUCAAGAGGGAAAGGGGGCCAUGUUUGGAAGAGGGGGGACGUUUAUGUGGCCAUUACAGGACAACUUGCAAAGUCUGUUCUGGGGACGUACUCAGCCCAUCAGGCUUCACACCAAGCACGUUCGCGCACUGAGCACCCCAGCAGUUCAGUGCUGUGUUUAAGUAAUUCCUAUUCUCUUUGUUUGUUUGUUGUUGUUAAUUGAGAUGAGUUUUUCUCAGUAGUUCUGGCCAUUCUGGAGAUUGCUUGUGUAGACCAGACUGGCAUGGAAAUCACAGAGGUCUUGCUGCCUCUUCCUUAGUGCUAGGAUUAAAGGUGUAAACCAUCAUUGCAGCCACCCUUAUUUUCUUUUCUUUUUUUUUUUUUUUCUGGUUUUUCAAGACAGGGUUUCUCUGUGUAGCCUUGGCUGUCCUGGAACUCACUUUGUAGACCAGGCUGGUGUGCCACCACGCCCGGCCCACCCUUAUUUUCUUAAUAACGGGUCUAAAUAAAUAGUGAUGAUGUUGGCAGUCAUAUAUGUCAAAGAAACCCUGGGAAAGAAACACUUGCUAUCAAGCAUGACGGUGCACACUUCUGAGUCCAGGUACAGGAGACAGAGGCAGGACUGCUGAAUGGGAGCCUCAGCCACAGUGACACCCUUUCUCCACCCCACAUUAAAAACAAAAAGCCACUGGUGGCGGUGGCAUGUGUCUGUAAUCCUAGCACUGGGGAGGCAGAGGCAAGCGGAUCUCUGAAUUCUAGGCUAGUCUGGUCUACACCGAGUUCUAGGACAGCCACACCACAAAGAAACCCUGUCUCCAAAAACAAAAGCAAACAGGAAGAGAGCUCAAGGCCAUCCUUCGUGGCUAGAGUUGGAGGCCAACCCGAGCCAACAGACCAACGUCCACGCAGCUCUCAUCUUAGACACUUGUGGAGCUGGAAAGGUGCUCAGUGCUUAGAGCUCACACUGCUUCCAAUUGGUUCCCAGCACCCGUAUCAGCCUGUAAUUUCAGCCCUGGGGGAACUGAUGCCCUUUUUUGGCUUUGGAGGGCAACUGCAUGCACUUGCACAUACUCACAUACACAUAACU